rnacentral:lncRNA from 1 species
UGUUAUUGUGGAGCAGUGAUUCUGCCAUUCAACCAUCGAACGCCCCAAUUCCCCUACCUUCCACCAGAGACACAACCUUACCGCCAAAUUCUGCUGCAACCCUGCGAAGUCCCACAACCUUUCCAAGUACCACCACCCUUCCAAAUACCACCACCUUUCCAAAUACCACCACCUUUCCAAAUACCACCAACAUAUCAGAUCCCACAACCCUAUCAGCCCCCUCAACCUUUCCAAAUACCACCACCUUUCC